UGAGGAAUAUUGGUCAAUGGACGGAAGUCUGAACCAGCCAAGUAGCGUGCAGGAUGACGGCCCUAUGGGUUGUAAACUGCUUUUAUACGGGGAUAAAGUUAGGGACGUGUCCCUAUUUGCAGGUACCGUAUGAAUAAGGACCGGCUAAUUCCGUGCCAGCAGCCGCGGUAAUACGGAAGGUCCGGGCGUUAUCCGGAUUUAUUGGGUUUAAAGGGAGCGUAGGCCGUAGAUUAAGUGUGUUGUGAAAUGUAGACGCUCAACGUCUGACUUGCAGCGCAUACUGGUUUACUUGAGUUUGCACAACGUUGGCGGAAUUCGUCGUGUAGCGGUGAAAUGCUUAGAUAUGACGAAGAACUCCGAUUGCGAAGGCAGCUUGCGGGAGCGCAACUGACGCUGAAGCUCGAAGGUGCGGGUAUCGAACAGG
rnacentral:rRNA from 1 species